UAUGCUUAAAAUGGUACACUCUACCUGAUUGGUGGUGCCUGUCUCAUACCAGCCAGGGACAGAGCAACUCCUGUUUAUCUGAGCUUGGCUUUUGGCUUGUGCCCAUGCCUGCUGCAUGCCCUGAACAGAUAG
ensembl:snoRNA